CAAAACUAAACAAGCAAAGAGAAAAAAACUAUGCUAAAACUGUGAUUAAAACUCAAAAACAAAAAAAAAAAAUUUAACAUGGUAAUAAAAUGUGUUGUGUUCAGGGGAUGGAGGGAGUUUAUUGAAGUCUUCUUGGGCUCACAUGGGAAAUCAUUGAAAAUAUAAACUUGAUAUUCAGUCUAAGGAAACUGCAGAGCGACAGAAGAACCAACAAUAUCUCCUGUUUUCUCCUUUAAUGGGUCGACUCUUCUUGUGCUUUCAGACCAAAGAACUACAGACUCUUCACAACCUGCUCAAACUCUUGGUACAGGACCUCACCACACGGGUCAAGAAGGUUUCCUUCUCAUUUCUACUCUGAAGCUCACCUUCUCCUGCUCAAACUGCUGACAAAUGUUUCUGCUGCUCUAAAGUCUGGUCUCCAGAACUUCCUAAAAACUCUCAAAGUCUCUUCUGCUGCUGGUUGCUUUGUAGAACUGUUCCAGAAAACCUCACUAAACCACAUGGAGGGGCCUCAAGAUAGUCAUCCAAAUGAAACCAUACAAAAACCAAACUAGCACAACCCAAACACUAAAGUCUCCUGCAGCCUACCAGAGAACCUCUGAGAACAGAGAAUCAGGACAGGAACUCUUACCUUCUGGACAACCAAUGCUGGUUCACAAACAAGAAUACAGAAUGUGUCUGACCAAAAACCUCUAAAGACUCACUACAGCCAAGAUAAAGACACAACUCAGCUGCACCAAAUCCACUAAUCACUGCACACAUUAACACCAUGUGCUAACUGUGGCUAAAGAACCACAUUUACCAAGACAACUAUCCAGUACAAAGCCCUAAAACACACCAAGAAACACAUUAAAGACGAUUUUACUGCUGGAAGCUGCAAGCCAACACCUAAACAACAAACUAAAGCAAUGGAGCCAAACCCAGUUCAGUGGUGAAGAGAAGCAGAGGAAAUGUUUGUCUGCAGCUAAAUAAAGCAGGAAGACACUGAGCUGCUCAGGUGUUCCUGAUAACACCAAGCAGCCACCUGGACAGCCAAUAGGAACACAGCCACCUGGACAGCCAAUAGGAACACAGCUUCCUGGAAGUCCAGAGGGCUGGGUUAGUGAAGGAAAUUUAGUUUAAAGUUGAAGCAGAAAGUUAACAAAGAAAGUUGAAAACCACCUUCUGAUCCCUGAAAUCUCUGAGUUUUCACACAAAGAACACCUGAACAUGUCAAACUGGUUCCAUAGUAGAACCAUCAUUGUAAAAACGUCAUAGUAUGGUGUGUUGCUCAAAAACAUUAGGACCUGGCUGUCAGGGACAAACAUGUAAGAAACAUGAGAACAGAGAGAACCCAACCAGUAGGUCACAGUUUAUCAUCCCCCAGUCAUCUCCUGAAGUCCAUAUGGUGAGAGACAUCAGUAUCUGGUUGUUAAUUUACCAGAGGAUGCUUAUAAUCAUGCUGAUGUGGUCUGUACUCUACAGUAUUUUAGUGACUCAAUAAAUGCCUAAGUUGUUUUUUUAAAAA